rnacentral:rRNA from 1 species
AAUGGGUGUGUAACAUGUGAAAAACCUACCUCUUCGCUGGGGACAACAUUUGGAAACAAGUGCUAAUACCGUAUAACAUUAAUAACCGCAUGGUUAUUAGUUAAAAGAUGGUUUUGUUAUCAAUAAGAGAUGGUCCCGCGGUGUAUUAGCUAGUUGGUAAGGUAAUGGCUUACCAAGGCAAUGAUACAUAGCCGAGUUGAGAGACUGAUCGGCCACAAUGGGAGUGAGACACGGCCCAUACUCCUACGGGAGGCAGCAGUAGGGAAUCUUCCACAAUGGACGAAAGUCUGAUGGAGCAACGCCGCGUGUGUGAUGAAGGGUUUCGGCUCGUAAAACACUGUUGUAAGAGAAGAAUGACAUUGAGAGUAACUGUUCAGUGUGUGACGGUAUCUUACCAGAAAGGAACGGCUAAAUACGUGCCAGCAGCCGCGGUAAUACGUAUGUUCCAAGCGUUAUCCGGAUUUAUUGGGCGUAAAGCGAGCGCAGACGGUUAUUUAAGUCCGAAGUGAAAGCCCACAGCUUAACUGGGAAGUGCUUUGGAAA